rnacentral:rRNA from 1 species
AUUGAACGCUGGCGGCAGGCUUAACACAUGCAAGUCGAGCGGAGAUGAGGUGCUUGCACCUUAUCUUAGCGGCGGACGGGUGGGUAAUGCUUAGGAAUCUGCCUAUUAGUGGGGGACAACAUUCCGAAAGGAAUGCUAAUACCGCAUACGUCCUACGGGAGAAAGCAGGGGAUCUUCGGACCUUGCGCUAAUAGAUGAGCCUAAGUCGGAUUAGCUAGUUGGUGGGGUAAAGGCCUACCAAGGCGACGAUCUGUAGCGGGUCUGAGAGGAUGAUCCGCCACACUGGGACUGAGACACGGCCCAGACUCCUACGGGAGGCAGCAGUGGGGAAUAUUGGACAAUGGGGGGAGCCCUGAUCCAGCCAUGCCGCGUGUGUGAAGAAGGCCUUAUGGUUGUAAAGCACUUUAAGCGAGGAGGAGGCUACUGAGACUAAUACUCUUGGAUAGUGGACGUUACUCGCAGAAUAAGCACCGGCUAACUCUGUGCCAGCCGCCGCAGUAAAAC